GUUUUUCCUUGAAAUGUGCUCCCACUAAGCUAGAGCUGAAACCUGAGAGUUUUGGGUGCAUGUUGUCGUCCAAAAGAAUUUUUCUAGGGUUGAUGUCAUGGUGAAUGAUGGUGCGCUUGAGUCCGGCAUGAAGGUGUCGAUCCAGAGAUCCAUUGGACAUGUUCUCAUACACAAUAAUACUCUCUGUUUCGUGGUUGCAAAAUCCUACGAUAGACACACAAUUAGGAUGGCGAAGCUGACACGGUUUAUGGGUAGUUGUGUCCUUAUUUCACUCCCACUAUACACCAGUUACAAAUUAUCAGGUGUCAUGGGUUAAUGAAAUUGGACAUAGGUUUCUGAGAACUUAUUGACUAUUAUUAUUCAUUGUUACGUGACAUUUAGAAGAUGGUGACUGCUUAUAGGUUUAACAAUAAUACCGAGUUUCGUUUCUAUUCGGUACUUGUUUAUGUAUGAAAAUUUAUUUAAUUCUGUGAUGA